rnacentral:tRNA from 1 species
GAUGGUAUAGCUCAAGUGGUAGAGCGCAUGCUUAGCAUGCACAAGACCCUCGGUUCAAUCCCCGGUAUCGCCA